UGGGUGACUGGCCUCAGAGGCCAGGGGAGGGAGAGGACUCAUGUCCCCCAGGAGGUAAGGAGGGAGACAGGGCUCACCACGGCCCUGCUCUGCCUCUUCCCAGGCUGC
rnacentral:miRNA from 1 species